GUCUUAUUCAAGCUUUUAUUUUUAUUUCAUGGAAGUUAAUGAUCUGUCGACUGUUUGCCUUAACAAAAGCAUGAAAGUAGUGUUUUUUUUUUCUUUUCCAACAUGCCGUGAAACAAUUUGUGGUCAUGUUUGCUCUUGAAGUCUGUUUCCAGUGUGUCUCUGAAAAACUAUUGUAUGUCUUUUUUUAAAAAAAAACAUUUCUUAUGGAAUGAUCUAUCACCCUUGUCCUUGGUUAUGCACAGUCUAUAUCGAAUAUAGCUAAUAUAUUAUUCUAAUUGCUUGUUCAAAUGUUGAAUAUUAAAUUUGAUUGCCCCCCUCAUCAGGUACUAUAAGUAUAUGUGUAAAUUGGUCGAUAUAGAUGAUAACUCUUGAAGGCCUAUCAAAUUAACUUGUCAAAUUUAAAAAUGACUUCUCACUGGAAUCAUUAUAGUACAACUGAUAAGUAUGUUGUUAUGAAGGUGUAGAUUUCAUGUCGUGUGAUGAACCAAGUUAUAUUAUGCAUCUCCUAGUUAAGUAUAGCAUACCCUUGUCGAAUUUUUUCACUCACAGAAAUUGUUUCCACCUCUGUUAAGUUUUUGACUUGGACAUAAUCUUUUGUCCAUGGGCUGCCAUUAACAUAUCUUGUUUAUAACAAAGUCAUAUGUAGUUUUUAGAUAGCGAAUGCGAAAAAUGAUAAAUUUCAAAGUUAGAACAAUGUUUU
rnacentral:misc_RNA from 1 species